UACGAAGGGGGCUAGCGUUGCUCGGAAUGACUGGGCGUAAAGGGCGCGUAGGCGGACGGCUUUGUCGGGCGGGAAAUUCCAGGGCUUAACCUUGGGGCUGCGUUCGAGACGGGUUGUCUAGAGUUUGGAAGAGGGUCGUGGAAUUCCCAGUGUAGAGGUGAAAUUCGUAGAUAUUGGGAAGAACACCGGUGGCGAAGGCGGCGCUCUGGACCGAGACUGACGCUGAGGCGCGAAAGCGUGGGGAGCAAACACG
rnacentral:rRNA from 1 species